rnacentral:rRNA from 1 species
AUUGAACGCUGGCGGCAGGCUUAACACAUGCAAGUCGAGCGGGAAUAGGUAGCUUGCUACUGAAUUCUAGCGGCGGACGGGUGAGUAAAGCUUAGGAAUCUGCCAUUUAGUGGGGGACAACAUUCCGAAAGGGAUGCUAAUACCGCAUACGUCCUACGGGAGAAAGCAGGGGAUCUUCGGACCUAGCGCUAAAUGAUGAGCCUAAGUCGGAUGAGCUAGUUGGUUGGGUAAAGGCCUACCAAGGCGACGAUAUGUAGCGGGUCUGAGAGGAUGAUCCGCCACACUGGGAAUGAGUAAGGGCCCAGUAGCGUCAGGGAGGGAGCAGUGGUGAAUAUUGUAGAAUGGGGGAGAUCCUGAUCCAGCCAUGCCGAGUGUUUGCAGAAUGCCUUUUGGUUGUAAAGCACUUUAAGCGAUGAGUAGGCUACCUGGAUUAAUACUCUAGGAUAGUAGACGUUACUCGCAGAAUAAGCACCGUCUAACUCUGUGCCAGCCGCCGCGGUAA